GGGGGUGAACUGGCUUCGACUUUGAAGUGAGUCUCUCAGUAGCGAGCCGAGGGACCUAGGGCCUCGUUAAAAACGUAGGAAAACAAUAUAACUGCCAAACCUAAAUUGGCUUUAGCCGCUUAAUGCGACUCGUCGACCAUCGGGGCUCCCACCUCGGGUGGUAUCGGCGUCGAAAUGUGGGAUGCUAAGUUAAGCUACCGAUUAACUUUUAAGAUUAAGGUAGAAAACUUUUGAGAAUAUGUCUCUGGUGUCUUUCUCAAAAGUAUUAACACCAGAUGCGCUCGGAGAAGCUGUUAGGUAGCUUAAAAGGACCGGGGUUCGACUCCCCGCACCUCCACCA
rnacentral:tmRNA from 5 species